rnacentral:rRNA from 1 species
CUGGGGAUCGUAAGACCUAGCGUUGAUGGAGCGGCCGAUAUCUGAUUAGCUAGUUGGUGGGGUAAAGGCCCACCAAGGCGACGAUCAGUAGCUGGUCUGAGAGGACGACCAGCCACACUGGAACUGAGACACGGUCCAGACUCCUACGGGAGGCAGCAGUGGGGAAUUUUGGACAAUGGGGGCAACCCUGAUCCAGCCAUUCCGCGUGAGUGAAGAAGGCCUUCGGGUUGUAAAGCUCUUUCGCGAGGAAAGAAAACUUACCCUCUAACAUAGGGUGAGGCUGACGGUACCUUGAGAAGAAGCACCGGCUAACUACGUGCCAGCAGCCGCGGUAAUACGUAGGGUGCGAGCGUUAAUCGGAAUUACUGGGCGUAAAGCGUGCGCAGGCGGUUUGCAAGUCAGAUGGAAAGCCCCGGCUCAUCCAAUCCA